rnacentral:rRNA from 1 species
AUUGAACGCUGGCGGCAUGCUUUACACAUGCAAGUCGAACGGCAGCGCGGGCUUCGGCCUGGCGGCGAGUGGCGAACGGGUGAGUAAUGCAUCGGAACGUGCCCAGUAGUGGGGGAUAGCCCGGCGAAAGCCGGAUUAAUACCGCAUACGACCUGAGGGUGAAAGCGGGGGACCGAAAGGCCUCGCGCUAUUGGAGCGGCCGAUGUCGGAUUAGCUAGUGGGUGGGGUAAAGGCUUACCAAGGCGACGAUCCGUAGCUGGUCUGAGAGGACGACCAGCCACAAUGGGACUGAGACACGGCCCAGACUCCUACGGGAGGGCGCAGUGGGGAAUUUUGGACAAUGGGGGCAACCCUGAUCCAGCCAUGCCGCGUGCGGGAAGAAGGCCUUCGGGUUGUAAACCGCUUUUGUUCGGGAAGAAAUCCUCUGGGCUAAUACCCCGGGGGGAUGACGGUACCGGAAGAAUAAGCACCGGCUAACUACGUG